rnacentral:misc_RNA from 1 species
UGCAAAAUUAUUAAUUUUCUGUUGUACUCUUAUUGAGGAAUAGCUAGAGAGCGUUCUAGAAUACAAUGAUUUUAGGAAGAACACGAUGAUAAUUUUAUGAUACGAGACGAAGCUUCUAUUUGAUUAGGUAUUAUCUCGUGGAACACUGCACAUGCUCAUCAUAUUUUAAUCACGAGGCGGACAUACGAAUUAAAAGAUGGGCUGCAGUUUAGUAUUUUGAACUUCGGAAAUAUAUUUGAAGAUGUCGAAUGUGCCCUCGUCCUAACUUACGAGACGUCUAUGAAAAAUCCAAGCUGUUUUCGCCGCCUUGUCUACGGUUUGAUGACCUUUACGCCGGGAGAGAUUAGACGAAUUGUAGGCGCCAGUGUGAACAAAUACCAAUGGUAGCCCCGAUGUAGUUGCGGAAUAGCUUAAAGAGGAUAUAAGGCGAGCUCGGCGCCGCCGAGCUCGAGAAUUUUGUACGACAUACCUCGGACGAGUUACGGCACAUAAAUGGGUUUAUAAUUCUUGAAAAAUAAUCAAACGGAUAGGCGAAGGGAUGAAACGACGAAGGAUGCGCGCUAUCGCCACAAAGCGGUUUGCAAAAGCGGAAGAAAGCGCAAAAUACAAAGAGAAUGGAAAAGAGAGCACGAGAGAGAAUGAUCUGGUAUGUAUUUUCUUUCAUGUCGCGCACCGUGCGAAGCAGUUAAGCAAAGGUCAAAAGUUGAGCAAUCGGUCCGCUUAUCGGUGCAAACAGCGCCUGCGGCGUGCGUGCAACGCGAUGAACGACAACGACGAGAGGUUGAUGAAUCUUCCGCCGUAGCGGUUGUCCUCGCAAAACUCUUCCGUCCUUCUCGAGUCGACGAGAUUACCGUGUCAUCCAUUCGCAGUUCACAGAAAUGACGAGUGAUGUCCUCCUUUUUUUUUCCUGACAAAACUUCCGGGUAAUUGGCGAAACACAAAAAGAGAGAUAACAGCGUCACUUUGGUGGGGACCAGUUUUUGAGUAAGUGCGGUAGCCGCGACGAGGGAGUAAGAGUCAGGAGCGUGCCGUUGGGACACGAUAGCAGAACGGGGCGAAUAUGAGGCGCGCAACAACGGGGGGAGGGGAGGGCGAGGCAGGGAGAACGAGGAUACGCAUACUACGGGGUGGUGUGCGCAGCGGGAGAGCGGUAGAGGCCGGUAGAAAAAGAGGAUGAGCUCGUCGGUGUACGGCGCGUAACGUAUACGACGGAGGGAGUCGUAAGAAGAGUGAAGAGAGGCGACCCGGAGGGAGUCCCUCGCCGAAGGAGGCGCGCGGCGCCACGGUGGGCACCGACGCGACGACUCCGGUUGCGACUAUAAGUAAGUCUCGCGCGGCGCGCCGCGGCUUAAUGCCGUUGCCGCGUUCGUGGCGCCAAGAGGAAGGCCCACUAACGACGACGAUAAACUUCUCGACAGCGCGUUCCCGCGAGCCAACGAAGGAGAGGAGAGAGCGAACGAAAGAGAGAGAGAGAGAGAGAGAGAGAAAAAGAGGGAGUCGCGGUGAACUUAUAUUCCAUAGAAUGGUGUGGAUCAGCGACAGUGCAGAUAACACGUGGCUGUCAGUCGUCGCUAUUGCUACUGUUGCUUCUAUCCGAUCGCGCUCCGCUGUGUCAGGCUCUUCUGUCAGUGUUGAUCAGUGUUGAUCGGGUACUAGUGUCGGAACAGAAUAAUACCGCGCGCGACAGCUCCGCAUUGUCCUCCCGCGCUAUGCGACAUUGUAUCGACAUUUGCGUUCCUUAACGAAGACCAGGGCUGAAUUGCAUUUAUCAUCGCGUUAAACAUCGAUUCAACAUCGAGUGUACAGUGUACCGAGUAGUGAAGGCGAGGAGGGGGAGAGAGAAGUGGUCGCGCACACAGGGUGUACGUGCCCAUCCGUUCAUGGACCCUGUUGUUCUUCAGAAGCUUCGUUAUCUUCCGUGUUCGUGCCGUAGUAAUUACGCUCCGUAAUCAAGCCGCUGCGUGUUGAGUGACAGUAUGU